rnacentral:misc_RNA from 1 species
GAUGAAGAACGUAGCGAAAUGCGAUAAGUAAUGUGAAUUGCAGAAUUCAGUGAAUCAUCGAAUCUUUGAACGCACCUUGCACCCUUUGGCAUUCCGAAGGGUAUGCUCGUUUGAGUGUCAUUGUACUCUCACACUCUCCGAUCCUAUGGAUUCGGGGAGCGGUGGACUUGGGUGUUGCUGCCUUUCCCUGUGGCUCACCUCAAAUGCGUCAGUGCACCUCUUGGUUGGACAUAGUACGGCGUGAUAAGUGUCUUCGCCGGCACCUCGCAAGAGGGUGGCCGAUCGGGAGCUCUGCGCUUUCAAACCGUCUUCGGACAAUUUCUGACAUCUUGACCUCAAAUCGAGUAGGACUACCCGCUGAACUUAAGCAUAUCAAUAAGCGGGGA